rnacentral:rRNA from 1 species
AGGACGAACGCUUGCGGCGUGCCUAAGAAAUGCAAGUCGAGCGGAAGUAGCAAUACUUUAGCGGCGAACGGUCGCGUAACACGUAGCCAACCUGCCCAGAAGACCGGGACAACACUCCGAAAGGGGUGCUAAUACCGGAUGUGCCCAUUUUGCCACAUGGCUUAAUGAGUAAAUCAUUUAUGGCUUCUGGAGGGGCUGCGGCCUAUCAGCUAGAUGGUUGGGUAAUGGCCUACCAUGGCGUCGACGGGUAGCUGGUCUGAGAGGAUGGUCAGCCGGACUGGGACUGAGAUACGGCCCAGACUCCUACGGGGGCAGCAAUUAGGAAUCUUGCGCAAUGGGGGCAACCCUGACGCAGCGACGCCGCGUGGAGGAUGACGGCCUUCGGGUUGUAAACUCCUUUAUCGGGAAGAAACAAUGACGGUACCCGAUGAAUAAGCCCCGGCUAACUCCGUGCCAGCAGCCGC